rnacentral:lncRNA from 1 species
UGCUGUAACCGUUUGCCACGUGGCGCAUAGGCCUUGGCCGGUGUAAAAAGAGUAUAGCCGACCGGCUACACUGGAUUCUUUUUGAAUUUUGUUCUAGAAAUAGUAUAGCCGCACGGCUAUACUUAUUUUCCCCAAAUUUUUUUUAAGUAGGCUGUGACACGCUGCACCUAUGCGCUGGGGCAUCCCUUUUUUUAAUAUAUAAAUAGUACAGCCGUUCGGCUGUACCUUUACAAAAUAAAAUUCAAUUUGCCACGUGGCAAAUAGUCCUUGGCCGGUGUAAAAAGAGUAUAGCCGCCCGGCUAUACCGGAUUCUUUUUUGAAUUUUCUUCUAGAAAUAGUAUAGCCGCCCGGCUAUACUUAUUUUCCCCUGUUUUUUUAAUUAGGCUGUGACACGCGGCACCUAUGCGCUGGGGCAUCCUUUUUUUUAAUACAUAAAUAGUAUAGCCGCGCGGCUGUACUGUUAAAAAAGAAAAUUUAAUCCCAUUUACAAAAAAUUUAGUUUCUUUACUUUUCUUUUUUGACCUACUUCUUUUAUUUAAUAUAUGUAAUUGAGCAAUAUCUUAGCUUUUUCGAAUUACUUUAAUCACUACUUGUAUUUUAAUAUAUAUAUAUAUAUAACAAUUUCAAGUAAAAGUCCCCAAAAUAAUUCAUUUAUAUUUAUUAAGUCUUUUGAGAACUCGUUUGGGUGUCUUAAUUAAAUUUCUCCGUAGCCCAAGAGCCCUAUCUCUUAUUAUUAGGCCAUUGCUCGGGUAUCUAGUGUCCCUUUUUGAUUUUUUUUCUUUUCCAAAGCUAUUACCCGCAUAAAUAUUUUUGCACUUUCACGUUUAAUAAUGUUUUAUACACGUAUUUCUCAUGUUUAGUGCACUUAAUUUUAACAAAAAUUUCAGUAAUACGCAAAAUUCACGUAUUAUACACAUAAUUCUAACAUAUUAUUGAAUAAAAAUAAUAUAUAUGUAAAAAAAAUCUCAGUUUUUCCAUAAUUGUUUAUUAAAAAUAGUAUAGCCGAGCGGCUAUACUCUUUUUCAAAAAUUUUAAUUAAAAAUAGUACAGCCGCCCUGCUGUAACCGUUUGCCACGUGGCGCAUAGGCCUUGGCCGGUGUAAAAAGAGUAUAGCCGCCCGGCUACACUGGAUUCUUUUUGAAUUUUGUUCUAGAAACUUAUUUUCCCCAAAUUUUUUUUAAGUAGGCUGUGACACGCGGCACCUAUGCGCUGGGGCAUCCCUUUUUUUAAUAUAUAAAUAGUACAGCCGUUCGGCUGUACUUUUACAAAAUAAAAUUCAAUUUGCCACGUGGCACAUAGUCCUUGGCCGGUGUAAAAAGAGUAUAGCCGCCCGGCUAUACCGGAUUCUUUUUUGAAUUUUCUUCUAGAAAUAGUAUAGCCGCACGGCUAUACUUAUUUUCCCCUGUUUUUUUUAAUUAGGCUGUGACACGCGGCACCUAUGCGCUGGGGCAUCCUUUUUUUUAAUACAUAAAUAGUAUAGCCGCGCGGCUGUACUUUUAAAAAAGAAAAUUUAAUCCCAUUUACAAAAAAUUUAGUUUCUUUACUUUUCUUUUUUGACCUACUUCUUUUAUUUAAUAUAUGUAAUAGAGCAAUAUCUUAGCUUUUUUGAAUUACUUUAAUCACUACUUGUAUUUUAAUAUAUAUAUAUAUAUAUAUAACAAAUUCAAGUAAAAGUCCCCAAAAUAAUUCAUUUAUAUUUAUUAAGUCUUUUGAAAACUCGUUUGGGUGUCUUAAUUAAAUUUCUCCAUAGCCCAAGAGCCCUAUCUCUUAUUAUUAGGCCAUUGCUCGGGUAUCUAGUGUCCCUUUUUGAUUUUUUUUCUUUUCCAAAGCUAUUACCCGCAUAAAUAUUUUUGCACUUUCACGUUUAAUAAUGUUUUAUACACGUAUUUCUCAUGUUUAGUGCACUUAAUUUUAACAAAAAUUUCAGUAAUACGCAAAAUUCACGUAUUAUACACAUAAUUCUAACAUAUUAUUGAAUAAAAAUAAUAUAUAUGUAAAAAAAAAUCUCAGUUUUUCCAUAAUUGUUUAUUAAAAAUAGUAUAGCCGCGCGGCUAUACCCUUUUUCAAAAAUUUUAAUUAAAAAUAGUACAGCCGCCCUGCUGUAACCGUUUGCCACGUGGCGCAUAGGCCUUGGCCGGUGUAAAAAGAGUAUAGCCGACCGGCUACACUGGAUUCUUUUUGAAUUUUGUUCUAGAAAUAGUAUAGCCGCACGGCUAUACUUAUUUUCCCCAAAUUUUUUUUAAGUAGGCUGUGACACGCUGCACCUAUGCGCUGGGGCAUCCCUUUUUUUAAUAUAUAAAUAGUACAGCCGUUCGGCUGUACCUUUACAAAAUAAAAUUCAAUUUGCCACGUGGCAAAUAGUCCUUGGCCGGUGUAAAAAGAGUAUAGCCGCCCGGCUAUACCGGAUUCUUUUUUGAAUUUUCUUCUAGAAAUAGUAUAGCCGCCCGGCUAUACUUAUUUUCCCCUGUUUUUUUAAUUAGGCUGUGACACGCGGCACCUAUGCGCUGGGGCAUCCUUUUUUUUAAUACAUAAAUAGUAUAGCCGCGCGGCUGUACUGUUAAAAAAGAAAAUUUAAUCCCAUUUACAAAAAAUUUAGUUUCUUUACUUUUCUUUUUUGACCUACUUCUUUUAUUUAAUAUAUGUAAUUGAGCAAUAUCUUAGCUUUUUCGAAUUACUUUAAUCACUACUUGUAUUUUAAUAUAUAUAUAUAUAUAUAACAAUUUCAAGUAAAAGUCCCCAAAAUAAUUCAUUUAUAUUUAUUAAGUCUUUUGAGAACUCGUUUGGGUGUCUUAAUUAAAUUUCUCCGUAGCCCAAGAGCCCUAUCUCUUAUUAUUAGGCCAUUGCUCGGGUAUCUAGUGUCCCUUUUUUAUUUUUUUUCUUUUCCAAAGCUAUUACCCGCAUAAAUAUUUUUGCACUUUCACGUUUAAUAAUGUUUCAUACACGUAUUUCUCAUGUUUAGUGCACUUAAUUUUAACAAAAAUUUCAGUAAUACGCAAAAUUCACGUAUUAUACACAUAAUUCUAACAUAUUAUUGAAUAAAAAUAAUAUAUAUGUAAAAAAAAUCUCAGUUUUUCCAUAAUUGUUUAUUAAAAAUAGUAUAGCCGCGCGGCUAGACUCUUUUUCAAAAAUUUUAAUUAAAAAUAGUACAGCCGCCGUGCUGUAACCGUUUGCCACGUGGCGCAUAGGCCUUGGCCGGUGUAAAAAGAGUAUAGCCGACCGGCUACACUGGAUUCUUUUUUGAAUUUUGUUCUAGAAAUAGUAUAGCCGAACGGCUAUACUUAUAUUCCCCAAAUUUUUUUUAAGUAGGCUGUGACACGCGGCACCUAUGCGCUGGGGCAUCCCUUUUUUUAAUAUAUAAAUAGUACAGCCGUUCGGCUGUACUGUUACAAAAUAAAAUUCAAUUUGCCACGUGGCACAUAGUCCUUGGCCGGUGUAAAAAGAGUAUAGCCGCCCGGCUAUACCGGAUUCUUUUUUGAAUUUUCUUCUAGAAAUAGUAUAGCCGCCCGGCUAUACUUAUUUUCCCCUGUUGUUUUUAAUUAGGCUGUGAAACGCGGCACCUAUGCGCUGGGGAAUCCUUUUUUUUAAUACAUAAAUAGUAUAGCCGCGCGGCUGUACUUUUAAAAAAGAAAAUUUAAUCCCAUUUACAAAAAAUUUAGUUUCUUUACUUUUCUUUUUUGACCUACUUCUUUUAUUUAAUAUAUGUAAUUGAGCAAUAUCUUAGCUUUUUUGAAUUACUUUAAUCACUACUUGUAUUUUAAUAUAUAUAUAUAUAUAUAUAUAUAUAACAAUUUCAAGUAAAAGUCCCCAAAAUAAUUCAUUUAUAUUUAUUAAGUCUUUUGAGAACUCGUUUGGGUGUCUUAAUUAAAUUUCUCCGUAGCCCAAGAGCCCUAUCUCUUAUUAUUAGGCCAUUCCUCGGGUAUCUAGUGUCCCUUUUUGAUUUUUUUUCUUUUCCAAAGCUAUUACCCGCAUAAAUAUUUUUGCACUUUCACGUUUAAUAAUGUUUCAUACACGUAUUUCUCAUGUUUAGUGCACUUAAUUUUAACAAAAAUUUCAGUAAUACGCAAAAUUCACGUAUUAUACACAUAAUUCUAACAUAUUAUUGAAUAAAAAUAAUAUAUAUGUAAAAAAAAUCUCAGUUUUUCCAUAAUUGUUUAUUAAAAAUAGUAUAGCCGCGCGGCUAUACUCUUUUUCAAAAAUUUUAAUUAAAAAUAGUACAGCCGCCCUGCUGUAACCGUUUGCCACGUGGCGCAUAGGCCUUGGCCGGUGUAAAAAGAGUAUAGCCGCCCGGCUACACUGGAUUCUUUUUGAAUUUUGUUCUAGAAAUAGUAUAGCCGCACGGCUAUACUUAUUUUCCCCAAAUUUUUUUUAAGUAGGUUGUGACACGCGGCACCUAUGCGCUGGGGCAUCCCUUUUUUUAAUAUAUAAAUAGUACAGCCGUGCGGCUGUACUUUUACAAAAUAAAAUUCAAUUUGCCACGUGGCACAUAGUCCUUGGCCGGUGUAAAAAGAGUAUAGCCGCCCGGCUAUACCGGAUUCUUUUUUGAAUUUUCUUCUAGAAAUAGUAUAGCCGCACGGCUAUACUUAUUUUCCCCUGUUUUUUUUAAUUAGGCUGUGACACGCGGCACCUAUGCGCUGGGGCAUCCUUUUUUUUAAUACAUAAAUAGUAUAGCCGCGCGGCUGUACUUUUAAAAAAGAAAAUUUAAUCCCAUUUACAAAAAAUUUAGUUUCUUUACUUUUCUUUUUUGACCUACUUCUUUUAUUUAAUAUAUGUAAUUGAGCAAUAUCUUUGCUUUUUUGAAUUACUUUAAUCACUACUUGUAUUUUAAUAUAUAUAUAUAUAUAACAAUUUCAAGUAAAAGUCCCCAAAAUAAUUCAUUUAUAUUUAUUAAGUCUUUUGAAAACUCGUUUGGGUGUCUUAAUUAAAUUUCUCCAUAGCCCAAGAGCCCUAUCUCUUAUUAUUAGGCGAUUGCUCGGGUAUCUAGUGUCCCUUUUUGAUUUUUUUUCUUUUCCAAAGCUAUUACCCGCAUAAAUAUUUUUGCACUUUCACGUUUAAUAAUGUUUUAUACACGUAUUUCUCAUGUUUAGUGCACUUAAUUUUAACAAAAAUUUCAGUAAUACGCAAAAUUCACGUAUUAUACACAUAAUUCUAACAUAUUAUUGAAUAAAAAUAAUAUAUAUGUAAAAAAAAUCUCAGUUUUUCCAUAAUUGUUUAUUAAAAAUAGUAUAGCCGAGCGGCUAUACUCUUUUUCAAAAAUUUUAAUUAAAAAUAGUACAGCCGCCGUGCUGUAACCGUUUGCCACGUGGCGCAUAGGCCUUGGCCGGUGUAAAAAGAGUAUAGCCGACCGGCUACACUGGAUUCUUUUUGAAUUUUGUUCUAGAAAUAGUAUAGCCGCGCGGCUAUACGUAUUUUCCCCAAAUUUUUUUUAAGUAGGCUGUGACACGCGGCACCUAUGCGCUGGGGCAUCCCUUUUUUUAAUAUAUAAAUAGUACAGCCGUUCGGCUGUACUUUUACAAAAUAAAAUUCAAUUUGCC